rnacentral:rRNA from 1 species
CCUACGGGUGGCAGCAGUGGGGAAUAUUGGGCAAUGGGCGCAAGCCUGACCCAGCAACGCCGCGUGAAGGAAGAAGGCUUUCGGGUUGUAAACUUCUUUUCUCAGGGACGAAGCAAGUGAUGGUACCUGAGGAAUAAGCCACGGCUAACUACGUGCCAGCAGCCGCGGUAAUACGUAGGGGGCAAGCGUUAUCCGGAUUUACUGGGUGUAAAGGGCGUGUAGGCGGGAAAGCAAGUCAGAUGUGAAAACCAUGGGCUCAACCUGUGGCCUGCAUUUGAAACUGUUUUGCUUGAGUGCUGGAGAGGCAGGCGGAAUUCCUAGUGUAGCGGUGAAAUGCGUAGAUAUUAGGAGGAACACCAGUGGCGAAGGCGGUCUGCUGGACAGCGACUGACGCUGAGGCGCGAAAGCGUGGGGAGCAAACAGGAUUAGAUACCCUAGUAGUC